rnacentral:rRNA from 1 species
UACGUAGGGUGCAAGCGUUGUCCGGAAUCAUUGGGCGUAAAGCGCGUGUAGGCGGUCCGGUAAGUCCGCUGUGAAAGUCGGGGGCUCAACCCUGGGAUGCCGGUGGAUACUGUCGGGCUCGAGUCCGGAAGAGGCGAGUGGAAUUCCUGGUGUAGCGGUGAAAUGCGCAGAUAUCAGGAGGAACACCAAUGGCGAAGGCAGCUCGCUGGGACGUGACUGACGCUGAGACGCGAAAGCGUGGGGAGCAAACAGG